CCUACGGGGGGCUGCAGUGAGGAAUAUUGGGCAAUGCCCGCAAGGGUGACCCAGCAACGCCGCGUGGAGGAUGAAGGCCGUAAGGUUGUAAACUCCUGUUAGAGGAGAAGAAUAGUACCGAUUGGAUCGGUAUUUGACUGUACCCUCAGAGAAAGCCCCGGCUAACUACGUGCCCGCAGCCGCGGUAAUACGUAGGGGGCAAGCUUUAUCCGGAUUUACUGGGUGGAAGGCGGGCUCGCAAGGCAGAGCAGAAAUCCUACAGCUUAACUGUAGAACGGCAUUUGAUACUGUUAUUCUUGAGUUCUGGAGAGAGAGACGGAAUUCCAGGUGUAGUGGUGAAAUACGUAGAUAUCUGGAAGAACACCAGUUGCGAAGGCGGUCUCUUGGUCCGAUACUGACGCUGAGGCGCGAAAGCGUGGGGAGCAAACAGGAUUAGAUACCCGGGUAGUC
rnacentral:rRNA from 1 species